rnacentral:tRNA from 3 species
UGGGGCGUCGACUAGCUGGCAGGUCACGAGAUUUUGGAUCUCGCAGCCCAGGUUCGAUCCCUGGCGCCCCAGCCA